GAUGAAGAACGCAGCGAAAUGCGAUAAGUAAUGCGAAUUGCAGAAUUCAGUGAAUCAUCGAAUCUUGAACGCACAUUGCGCCCGCCAGUAUUCUGGCGGGCAUGCCUGUCUGAGCGUCGUUUCGACCCUCGCGCCCGGCUUCUGUCGGGGGCGGUGUUGGGGAUCGGCCACACCCUUCAGUGGGAGGCCGGCCCCUAAAUUCAGUGGCGACCACGCUGUAGCCUCCCCUGCGUAGUACUAAAACCACCUCGCAGGCGGAGAGCGGUGCGGCCCGCCGUAAAACCCCCCAACUUUUACAAGGUCGACCUCAGAUCAGGUAGGAAUACCCGCUGAACUUAAGCAUAUCAAUAAGCGGAGGA
rnacentral:misc_RNA from 1 species